GGGCCCGUAGCUCAGUUGGUCAGAGCGGAGGACUCAUAAUCCUUUGGUCGCUGGUUCAAAUCCAGCCGGGCCCA
rnacentral:tRNA from 1 species